rnacentral:rRNA from 1 species
UGGCUCAGGAUGAACGCUAGCGACAGGCUUAACACAUGCAAGUCGAGGGGCAGCGGGGGUGAUGGCUUGCCAUCACCUGCCGGCGACCGGCGCACGGGUGAGUAACACGUAUGCAACCUGCCCGCCACAGGGGGAUAAGCGGAAGAAAUUCCGUCUAAUACCGCGUGACGCGGCGCCGGGGCAUCCCGGUGCCGCCAAAGGGAUUACCGGUGGCGGAUGGGCAUGCGGCGCAUUAGCUAGUCGGCGGGGUAACGGCCCACCGAGGCGACGAUGCGUAGGGGUUCUGAGAGGAAGGUCCCCCACACUGGUACUGAGACACGGACCAGACUCCUACGGGAGGCAGCAGUGAGGAAUAUUGGUCAAUGGGCGCGAGCCUGAACCAGCCAAGUCGCGUGAGGGAUGACGGUCCUGCGGAUUGUAAACCUCUUUUGCCGGGGAGCAAGCGUGCGUUCGUGAACGCGCGUCGAGAGUACCCGGAGAAAAAGCAUCGGCUAACUCCGUGCCAGCAGCCGCGGUAAUACGGAGGAUGCGAGCGUUAUCCGGAUUUAUUGGGUUUAAAGGGUGCGUAGGCGGGAUGCCAAGUCAGCGGUAAAAAUGCGGUGCUCAACGCCGUCGAGCCGUUGAAACUGGCGUUCUUGAGUGGGCGAGAAGUAUGCGGAAUGCGUGGUGUAGCGGUGAAAUGCAUAGAUAUCACGCAGAACUCCGAUUGCGAAGGCAGCAUACCGGCGCCCUACUGACGCUGAGGCACGAAAGCGUGGGUAUCGAACAGGAUUAGAUACCCUGGUAGUCCACGCAGUAAACGAUGAAUGCUAACUGUCCGGCUCGAAUGAGCGCUGGGCGGUACAGCGAAAGCGUUAAGCAUUCCACCUGGGGAGUACGCCGGCAACGGUGAAACUCAAAGGAAUUGACGGGGGCCCGCACAAGCGGAGGAACAUGUGGUUUAAUUCGAUGAUACGCGAGGAACCUUACCCGGGCUCAAACGCAGGAUGACGGGUCCCGAAAGGGGUCUUUCUUCGGACAUUCUGCGAGGUGCUGCAUGGUUGUCGUCAGCUCGUGCCGUGAGGUGUCGGCUUAAGUGCCAUAACGAGCGCAACCCCUGUCCACAGUUGCCAGCAGGUAAAGCUGGGGACUCUGUGGAGACUGCCGGCGCAAGCUGCGAGGAAGGCGGGGAUGACGUCAAAUCAGCACGGCCCUUACGUCCGGGGCGACACACGUGUUACAAUGGCUGGUACAGCGGGAUGCCACGGGGCGACCCGGCGCUGAACCCGAAAACCUGUCUCAGUUCGGAUUGGAGUCUGCAACCCGACUCCAUGAAGCUGGAUUCGCUAGUAAUCGCGCAUCAGCCACGGCGCGGUGAAUACGUUCCCGGGCCUUGUACACACCGCCCGUCAAGCCAUGGAAGCCGGGGGUACCUGAAGUGCGUGACCGCGAGGAGCGCCCUAGGGUAAAACCGGUGACUGGGGCUAAGUCGUAACAAGGU